UACGGGGGGGGCAAGCGUUGUUCGGAAUUACUGGGCGUAAAGGGCGCGUAGGCGGCACGGUAAGUCAAAGGUGAAAUCCCUCGGCUCAACUGAGGAACUGCCUUUGAAACUGCCGAGCUUGAGUCCGGGAGGGGGUAGCGGAAUUCCCAGUGUAGCGGUGAAAUGCGUAGAUAUUGGGAGGAACACCAGUGGCGAAGGCGGCUACCUGGACCGGAACUGACGCUGAUGCGCGAAAGCGUGGGGAGCAAACAGG
rnacentral:rRNA from 1 species